AAAAUUCCUUUUUUAACGAAAAGCAAACGUUAAGUCUUUUCUUCAAAAAAGAAAAAAUUUAUUUAACGGCUUGGUGAUUUCUAUGUGCAGAUACUCAAAUGGAAGAUCCGUUAGUUUGAACUUUGAAGUCUUGGCGGUGGUCUUGGAAAAAGUCAGGCUUUAUUGGAAAAAGUUGAACUUUGAAUUUAUCAUGUUCAAUUAAGCUCUUGUUUUCUGUUUGUAUGUCCAAUCUGAAUCAUGUCAUCUCCCCCGUUGCUGAGACUAGGCUU
rnacentral:lncRNA from 1 species